UAGGGAAUCUUCGGCAAUGGACGGAAGUCUGACCGAGCAACACCGCGUGAGUGAAGAAGGGUUUCGGCUCGUAAAGCUCUGUUGUUAAAGAAGAACACGUAUGAGAGUAACUGUUCAUACGUUGACGGUAUUUAACCAGAAAGUCACGGCUAACUACGUGCCAGCAGCCGCGGUAAUACGUAGGUGGCAAGCGUUAUCCGGAUUUAUUGGGCGUAAAGAGAGUGCAGGCGGUUUUCUAAGUCUGAUGUGAAAGCCUUCGGCUUAACCGGAGAAGUGCAUCGGAAACUGGAUAACUUGAGUGCAGAAGAGGGUAGUGGAACUCCAUGUGUAGCGGUGGAAUGCGUAGAUAUAUGGAAGAACACCAGUGGCGAAGGCGGCUACCUGGUCUGCAACUGACGCUGAGACUCGAAAGCAUGGGUAGCGAACAGGAUUAGAUACCCUGGUAGUCCAUGCCGUAAACGAUGAGUGCUAGGUGUUGGAGGGUUUCCGCCCUUCAGUGCCGGAGCUAACGCAUUAAGCACUCCGCCUGGGGAGUACGACCGCAAGGUUG
rnacentral:rRNA from 1 species